AAAUCUUUAGAGCAAGUGUAAUGGCCAAUUUCUUGGGUCAAUUUCCUAUGCCUCCUCAUCAUUGUGUCCCAGUGCCUGGCAUAUACCAGGCACUCUCAUGUUUGAAGAAGGAAUGGAUAUGACUUGCUCAAGUUCACACAGCUCUCAAGUGGCAGAUAAAAAACAGGGACCCAGAUUUUACCUCUUCCAGGUUUGUUCCAUCCUUUGACACAAUCUGAAAAAAAAAAUUGCAUUUUAAAAAAAAGUUGUAUUUCAAGAACACAGUAGCUGCUUGAUUAAAGCAAAAAGAAAUCACUCUGAGGUGAAAAGCAAAUGAAGGGAAAGAAAUUUCAUACCAGUAACCGUUGUCAGUCUAUUGUUAAAAAAAAAAAAAAAAAAAUCCACACUUUGCAGGUUGUGCUAGUGACUGAGCCAAGUCCCAGAACAGGCUUUUGGAAUGACUGCCUUUUCCAGGGAAAACUUGACCACAUUCACCUCGAGGUAGUCUCUGCUGGGGCAUGAUCCUAGGGAACUGAGAAGGCCCUCACCCACCAGCUUAUCACUGCUAGGAAGUAAAACCUUCAAAUAUCCCUUGUUGCAAUACAGGAACCUACUGGUGAUCUGCUAAAGGGGUGGAAGGUGGAAGGGCUGGGAACUUCCUCACGGAAAAUUCUGCAUUGAAAUAGCAAGGAAGGAAAAGUAAUUGAAGGGAGAGUAGAGAAAAAAAAUGGUGAAGAUAGCAAAUGCUUGGAGCUGGCUUUUUUCAGAUUUUCAGCCUCAGUAACCCAUAUUUUAAAAGUGGAAACCACAUUUGACCUUCCCUUAUCUCACAUCAAGAUUGAAGACUCAGGAGGAAGUGGAUCUUUUGAGAUUCUUUGACUAGCACCAGAUGACUGCAUUAGAGUCUCUGAAAUGCAAAACUAUGUGAUCCAUGUGAUAUUUUCUCCAAUCCUGUCUUAUGAGUUGCAGAGCCAAGAGAAACAGAUGGAGAAGGAAAAUUAUCGCGAAGUAAGCUUUCCUUCAAGAGUAGAAAGGUAACAGAUGCCAGUAAAGGGAGGAAGGAAUGAGUGCAGG
rnacentral:lncRNA from 1 species